UCAGUGAACAAGUGACAGUAGAUGAUGAUGAUGAUGGCUAAGGAAGUGAAGGAACUGUUAUGGAAUACACACCUUUUUAUAUUGGAGAAGUUCUUGUACCAAUAAGAUGUAAGGUGUGGCCUUGGUACUUUCUUUACUUGUAAAAUGUUGAAAAAUUUGCUUGAUUUCAAUAGUUUAUGCAUACUAGAAUCAUAUAGAAUCAAAUAUUAAUAAUAAUUUUUAAUUUUAGUUCAAUAAAAUCGUCACACAAUCCACUAUAAAUCCAGGUGAGAGGAUCAUAUCCAUACUAAAAUCAUUUAAAUUAUCCUUAAACUUCUCUAUUAAACGUAUUAUAUUUUACUAGUAUAUGAAAAAAUAUAAGUGAGUCGAGUUACGGGUUCAUCGAGAUCACAGUAUAUUUCAAAACUUAAAUAACAUCAAUAAAAGUUUUUACUUCGAGGGCGAAAGUUAAACUCAUGCUCUAACGUUAUAAACCUGAUCGUUCUUCAUCGGCUAUUAGAGCACUAUUUUAAAUGCAAACUUCCAGUCAUAAAUUUGUUUUAAUUUUGUAGUUACCCAAUUUUAGUCACAAACUAUUUUGCAUCCAUGUUCAGAUUUAGGUUACCCAAUUUUUUUGGAUUUUUAACACAAUUUAGGUUACACAAGUGGAGGACUUUUUUUUUUGAUACAAGUGGGAAAAGAAACAAAAGGCAAAGCAAAUCGGAAAAAUAACAAAAUGAAUUUUUGGAGCCAAACAACUUUUUUCCAGUGUGAUAUACACAGCAAUAGAAGUCUUAAGUCUCUCACCAACCAACAAGAAGGAUAUAUUGAAUAAUGCCAAAUGCUGAUUUUAGCAAAUUUUGAAGGGAAUCUUAUUGAGUGAUGAGAGCAAAGUAUAUAAGACGUACAAAAUCCACUAUGUGUCAUUAAAUCAAUAGUAACAAUAUUAUAGAACAAUAUUAGUGGCAAUUUAGAUCUCUUGUGAUCUCUCAAUUGGUUUCAUUAUUGUCGCAAUUUGCUUUUCCGUCUCUUCCACGUCUGCAAAGUGUAAAGCAUACUAUGCUUGAAUUUUAUUUUGGCAUUGUUGGAGAUUUCUAAACUCUAUCUCUAUUUUUUUUUCUUACUCUAAUUAUAAGUUUCAUUUUAAAUAAUUAGAUAUGCAUUGAUAAAAAAUAAUUAGAUUUUUUUUUUUGAAAAUUCGGUAUCUGAUCCAAGAAUCGAUUAAUCUGAGGGAACCAAUCCCACCGUCCACUUGCAGGACCCCCUUUAAAGCCAGAGCAAACUUUGUAUGGAUUUAACCCAUCGAAAUUGGCACCAGAGGGAAUCAAACCUAAAACCCAUGAAGGAGCAAACUACAAG
rnacentral:lncRNA from 1 species